rnacentral:lncRNA from 1 species
GAAUAUUAGUAUAUAUAUAAUUUAUACUAACCUAAGAGAUUAAUUUUUUAUCUCAAUUUUUUAUUUAUUUUAAACCUAAUUAAAGCAAGUCUAAUUGGGUUAUAAAAUUAGAUGAACUUGAGUAAGUAUUUAAUUCCAAAAGAGUGGGGAUAGAAACCCUAAAUAAAUAAUUAGGGUAAGAUAAAUUAAAAGUAUUGGAUUAUGUUAUUUUUAUGGUCCAAACAAUUAAUUAGGAAGCCCAAAGGAAUUAAGUUGAUAGACCAAUCUUUAGCCUAAUUAUUAAGGGACAUUUUGAACAUUUGAUUAAUCAAAUUUGGCAUUAGAAUAAAGCAAAAAUAGGGUAAAAGGGGGGUAAUAACCAACCCCUUAUGGCUUGUGAUGUGAUAAUUUAAUUGCCUUAUUUGUUAACUAAUCACCUUAUCUCUAAGUUACUUGCACAAAGGACUAAGGUGUCACUCUCUCAUUGGUCUAAUCCAAAAUCUUAAUUAGGAUUGCAUGUAAUCUAAAAAGAUAAAUAUCUAGCGUAUAUAAGAAGUAUUGGGAUAAAAAUAUAGAUAUAGGUUGUAUAUCAAUACUUUUAUACUAAUACACUAAUUUUUCAUUUCAUUCAUUUCUCCUUCAUUUCACUUCCUAACAAAGCAAAAGAAGAGAGAAAGGGAGAGAGAGAGACAGAGGGUUGGAUGAGGAGAAAAGGGGGAGAGAGCUUCAUCAUUUAUGCAUCUUUAGUUCCUUAGAUACUUGGGUAAAUCAAGGAAGGUCGCUAGAAGAUCAAGGUGAGAUUUUAAACUACAUUUUCUUUCUAUUUUGGUUUAUUAGGGUAAUGUUCUAAGACUCAAAAAUUCUUAGAUCUACAUGUCUCAUGUAAGGAUCUAACCAUUUUGAGUGUUAGAAUGAAGAUCUAAAGGAAGAAAAUGAACUUGUGUUCCUAAAGGGUGAAAAUCCAUGCUUUUCUUCACUUGGAUCAUGUGUAACUUUAGAUCUACACCUCCUUUUUGUGAUCCGUCAAAGAAGGGUGUUAGAUAUGCAAGUUAACUAGUAAACCCAAGUGGUAACACUAAAAAAUAAUGGUUUUUCAAGAUUUAAGAGCUUUUGGAGCCAAAACAGUCCAUGGAGAACUAAAGGUAAAGUGGACAUCUUCUGGCCACUUGCUAACAAGGGCAUUUUCGUCCAUUUUCUGUACUCUAAAAAUUCUGAAAAACUUUGAGAAGAUACUUUGAUGAGUUAUCUGUAUUUAGGAAAAAGAAUGGACAAUUUUGGAUGUGUAGAAUGGAAGUUAUGGGUUUUACAAGAAAGUACUCUUUUAAAAGUGAACAUGAAAAACUUUUUGUGCAAUUCCAAAAAUUGUAAAUUUUUUACUGGAGGUAGAGUAUCAUGGCAAACGCAUACCCUGAAAAUUUCAGAGUUUUUGGACAGAGUUUCGAUUUAUGAAAAAUGUUACAAGAUCCAUAUGUUUUGGUCAUUUCAAAAAUAGUAAAUAAAAUUCAAAAUUCUAAAAAAAUUAUAUGUUCUGCAUAAUAUCAUAUACUGAUAUUUGCCAGAAAAUAAAUAUUUUUGGAGUUGAUUUGGUUUUUUAUAUGUAAAUGAUUGAGUUAUGAAUAAAUGGGUAAAAUAAGUUAUGUGAUGUCAUAAAUGGCAAAAAUAUAAUUUUAUGGCUUGGAAACCCUAAAAAUGUGGUAUUCUGAUUUAUGGAGGGUAUUUUGAUAAUUUUCGAUGAGAUGUUAUAUUUAUGGCAUUUUAGGGUUGUUAAAUAAAGUAAUUAGUAAAGGUUAAACAAUUAGAAUAAAUUGUUUAUUAGUAUAAUAAAUGAUUAAAAUAUUAUUAAGAGAUUAAUAAUAUUAGAUUAAUAUAUUAUUAAGUAAUUAAUAAUAUUUAGAUUAAAAUUGGAUUUAAAAUAUUAUUAAAUGAUUAAUAAUAUUAGAUUAAAGUUAAAUUAAAAUAUUAUUAAAUGAUUAAUAAUAUUAGAUAAUGAUUUAAAAUAUUAUUAAAUGAUUAAUAAUAUUAGAUUAAAGUUAAAUUAAAAUAUUAUUAAAUGAUUAAUAAUAUUAGAUAAUGAUUUAAAAUAUUAUUAAAUUAUUAAUUAUAUUAGAUUAAAGUUAAGUUAAAUGAUUAAUAAUAUUAUGAGUUGGGUAAGAUGUUAUUAAAUGAUUAAUAAUACUUGUGAAUGACUAAAAUAUUAUUUAGUGGUUAAUAAUAUUGAAAAAGGAAUAAAAUUUUAGUAAGUGAUUAAUAAUGUUAAGAAAUGAUGAAAUAUUAUUUGAUUAUUUGAAUCAUAGGAUGAUAAUAUUACUAAUGAGUUAAGGUAUUAUUUGAUUAUGUGAUUAUAUGUUUAGAUAAAUUAGUAUGAAAUAAUAGUUAAGAUAUGUGAUGCUAAUUGAGCGAUCGAUCUUAUUAAUGAUAGGUCAUUCAAAAGAAAUUAAAUUAAAUUGCAUAGCAGUAGUCAACCGAUCAGACAAGCUUUCUAACUCAACUUGAGUUAUUAUUUUUCAAAGUACGAUUAGUGAAUAAUUAUUGUUGAUUAUUCACAUCCAUAUUAUUGUUAUUCGCACAUAGUGCAAUUGAUUUCCUGUUUUAUUAUUUGAACUGUGAAAUAAAUUUAAAUUUCUUUUAAUCAUGAACUGUUUAUGAACCAUGUCUCAGCUAAUUGUUUUGGCUAGACUAACAAUUGAUGAAUCGUUCUAUUAUUUGAACUAAGUUGUUAUUGAAAGAUUUAUGCCAUUUAUUUUGGCUAGAUCAAUAUUAAUAUUAUAUGUUGAAAUCAUAGCAUUUCUUUAAAAGCAAUCCAAACCAUAUUGUUGUGGUACAGACUCAUGAUGUAAGACUGAGAUGAACAACCCUUAUAAAAAGGGGAACUUUAUUGUCAGGCAUCCGACUCUUGCGCUAUUAUCGAGUAUUAUGCAUAAUCACGUGUACAAUGAGGCUGAUUCCAUUACGUACUUACAGAAUGGUAUGAUUAAAUCUUUAUUCUUUACGGUUAACUUAUACUCUUGAGGUAUUCAAUCAGUAAAUGAAUUUAUAAUUCUUUUAGUUGUUCUUGAUCCAUUUUUGAUCACUCAACAUGAAAUCUGGA